CCCUUAGAUGUUCUGGGCCGCACGCGUGCUACACUGAGUGGAUCAGCGGGUCAGGUUGCGCGAAAGUGUUUCCUAAUCUUUAAAUCCGCUCGUGAUGGGGAUUGACGGUUGCAAUUUUCCGUCAUGAACGAGGAAUACCUUGUAAGCGCGGGUCAUCAUCCCGCGCUGAAUACGUCCCUGCCGUUUGUACACACCGCCCGUCGCUCCUACCGAUUGAGUGGUCCGGUGAGGCUUUGGGAUCUGAGCGGAAAGAGCGUUUCGCUGUUUCUGCCCGGAAAACUCAGUCGAACCUUAUCAUUUAGAGGAAGGAGAAGUCGUAACA
rnacentral:rRNA from 1 species